rnacentral:rRNA from 1 species
AGACAGAGGUGGCAAGCGUUGUUCGGAUUUACUGGGCUUAAAGGGCGUGUAGGCGUCCUGGUAAGUCAGAUGUGGAAGCCUUGGGCUCAACCCAAGAAUUGCAUUUGAUACUGCCGGGAUUGAGUCGUGCAUGGGAGGGCGGAAUUCCUGGUGUAGCGGUGAAAUGCGUAGAUAUCAGGAGGAAGGCCGGUGGCGAAGGUGGCCCUCUGGGCAAUGACUGACGCUGAGGCGCGAAAGCGUGGGGAGCAAACAGGAUUAGAAACCCCAGUAGUCC